CCUGUUUAACAAAAACAUGUCUUUUUGAGUUAUUUUUAAAGUCUGACCUGCCCACUGAAUUUUUAAAUGGCCGCAGUAUUCUAACUGUGCAAAGGUAGCAUAAUCAUUAGUCUUUUAAUUGAAGGCUGGUAUGAACGGUUGGACGAGGUAUAAGCUGUUUCAUAUAAAUUUAUAAUAGAAUUUUAUAUUUUAGUCAAAAAGCUAAAAUAUUAUUAAAAGACGAGAAGACCCUAUAAAUCUUUAUAUUUUUUAAUAUUUAAAUUUUUUGGAUUUGUUUUAUUUUUAUAAUAAAAAAUAUUUUGUUGGGGUGAUGUUAAAAUUUAAUGAACUUUUAAUUAUUUAAAAUCAUUAAUUUAUGAAUUAUUGAUCCAUUAGUAGUGAUUAUAAGAUUAAGUUACUUUAGGGAUAACAGCGUAAUUUUUUUGGAGAGUUCAUAUCGAUAAAAAAGUUUGCGACCUCGAUGUUGGAUUAAGAUAUAAUUUUAGGUGUA
rnacentral:rRNA from 1 species